CUCAGUCUCCAUCUCCUCCACAUACAAGCGACAGUU
rnacentral:sRNA from 1 species